rnacentral:rRNA from 1 species
CCCCUUUGGGGGUACUCGAGUGGCGAACGGGUGAGUAACACGUGAGUAACCUGCCCUUGACUUCGGGAUAACUUCAGGAAACUGGGGCUAAUACCGGAUAGGAAUCCUUGCUGCAUGGUGGUGGUUGGAAAGCUUCGGCGGUUUUGGAUGGACUCGCGGCUUAUCAGCUUGUUGGUGGGGUAGUGGCUUACCAAGGCUUUGACGGGUAGCCGGCCUGAGAGGGCGACCGGUCACAUUGGGACUGAGAUACGGCCCAG